UGAAAAUUGGACGAAAAAGUGAGAAAAAGUGCAAGUUAGCUCAAAAUGGAAAUUUGAGCGUUUUUGGCCAAAAUUGCCAAAAUAAAUUAUUGGAAGGUGAUAUUAUAAGAUAUGAUACUAAUAUUAUUUAUUUGGAAAAUAAAUAAUAGGGAAUUCAUCGAGAAUCGAAUGAUUAAAAGAUUAGUGGACGAAAUUGGACGAAAGAAAAGUUAGAAAGUUAAGCGAAAGGAGGUGGAAACUUCAAGGACUAAAAGAGGUACUUUGCCCACUUAAUAUCAUCAUUCACAAAUGAAUAUUCAUUCAUUUCAAGCCAAAAUUUGCAGCAACAAAGGAUCAAAUCCGUAACCCUUCUUCUCAAUUCUUCUCCAAAAUUCAAAUGAUCACAACUUCUUCGUUUCUCAACGAAAUUUAGCGAUUCUUGCGGCCACGGAACGAGGAAACGAUUAUCUACAGCUCUGUGGGUUGAAUUUGAGGUGUUUACAAGCUUCCAUGGAAGGUUUUUGAUAAUGAAUUUGGGCAUGGAACCUUCGGCCAAGAGACAAUCAUCAAGACUCGAAGGAGCGACUAUCGAUAAGGCUCGAGGCAAACGGAUCGAGAUAUUGUCAAGCUUAUUUGAAGAAUUUGGAUAGCAAGUGGGAUAGCAUGAUAUUAUUUGGAAAGUCAAGCUUCCGAAGUUUUAAUUCUCGGAAGUCAUUUGCACGAGAAGUGAAAGAAGGUUUUCAUUCUAGCAGUCCGCAGUAGUCUAGAUGUUUUUGUCUAUGUAUUUGACUAGCGCAUUUUAACUCUGAUAUUUUUGUAAAAUGGGGUCACAUGUAUUUUGAUAUAUGAAAAAAAUGAUUUGAUUUGCGAAAAA